UCUUAUGGUAGUGCCUGAUGUUAAGCUUCUGAUCUUUUAUUGUUGUAUCACAAUUCUCUGUGACUCAAGGUCUCUGUUCAAUAUGUUAUGCAUCUCAGCAUAUGCCUUCGGUAGUUUGCAUCACCUAAUCUCAUUUUUGCUCGAAGUAUUUAGCUGGUUUGGGUAUCUCGGUUCUUCUUACUCAGGCUUUUGGAUGAUAGUAAUGAAUCUACUCAUUCACA
rnacentral:lncRNA from 1 species